rnacentral:lncRNA from 1 species
UUCACAUUUUCUGUAUUUAUUUAUGCUUUGGGCUUAAAAGGGUCAGUGGCCUAAUUUAACAUUCGAUUUUUGUUUUUACACAGCAAAGACUUAUUGCAGGAAUACUGUAUGUUUGGCUCAAAGCUAGGUCCUGGAAACAAUCUGAAAAAAAUCCUCUACAUCCUGAGAUGUCUGCUGUCUAAAUCUUGGGGGAUGAAAUGCUGUGAUGGGUUGCACGCCCACAUCACCACUCUGCUGUCGGGAGAAGAGGAAGGCACGUUCCUCCCAAACACAGGGACUGAAAGCAGUUCUGAAGGCUGAAGUCCAAGACCAGGGUGGCAGCAUGGUCAGGUCCUGGCGAGGGCCAUUUUCCGAUGAGAAAACUGAAGCUCAGAGACAGAAAACGAGGUCUUCAGACUCCAGGUCCAGAGUGUCAUCCCCCA